CCGGGGAAGACCUAGGACACGCUGGAGGGACUAUGUCUCCCGGCUGGCCUGGGAACGCCUCGGUGUCCCCCCGGAAGAGCUGGAGGAAGUGUCUGGGGAGAGGGAAGUCUGGGCAUCCCUGCUUAGACUGCUGCCCCCGCGACCCGGCCCCGGAUAAGCGGAAGAAGAUGGUGGUGGUGGUGUCCAAUCAGCUAAAUUUGGCUGAAUACACUGCAGGAAUGAUUCUGCGGCAUGCCCUGUCCAGAGGUCUGACACCAUCCCCAUGCCCUGUCCAGAGGUCUGACACCAUCCCCAUGCCCUGUCCAGAGGCCUUACACCGCCCCCAUGCCUCGUCCAGGGGCCUGACACCGCCCCCAUGCCUCAUCCAGGGGCCUGACACUGCCCCCAUGCCCCGUCCAGAGGUCUGACACCACCCCCAUGCCUCGUCCAGGGGCCUGACACCGCCCCUAUGUCUCGUCCAGGGGCCUGACACCGCCCCCAUGUCUCGUCCAGGGGCCUGACACCGCCCCCAUGCCUCAUCCAGGGGCCUGACACCGCCCCCAUGCCUCGCCCAGGGGCCUGACACUGCCCCCAUGCCUCGCCCAGAGGUCUGACACCAACCCCAAGCCUCGUCCAGGGGCCUGACACCGCCCCCAUGCCUCGUCCAGGGGCCUGACACCGCCCCCAUGCCUCGCCCAGAGGUCUGACACCAACCCCAAGCCUCGUCCAGGGGCCUGACACCGCCCCCAUGCCUCGUCCAGGGGCCUGACACUGCCCCCAUGCCUCGCCCAGAGGUCUGACACCAACCCCAAGCCUCGUCCAGGGGCCUGACACCGCCCCCAUGCCUCGUCCAGGGGCCUGACACCACCCCUAUGCCUCAUCCAGGGGCCUGACACUACCCCCAUGCCCCGUCCAGAGGUCUGACACCAACCCCAAGCCUCGUCCAGGGGCCUGUCACCACCCCCAUGCCUCGUCCAGGGGCCUGACACCACCCCCAUGCUUCGCCCAGAGGCCUGACAUCACCCCCAUGCCCUGUCCAGAGGCCUGAAGCCACCCUAUUCUGCAGCAAGAUACCAGUUGCAUGUUUCAGAAAAUUCCUAACCAUCAAACCUACAUUGAAAACGAGGUUGAAAAAAUAUUGUGUUAUGCCCUACAUUUAUGGAAGUGCAUACAUACUAACAUUAUGCUUCAUGUCUUGUUGCUUAUAAGAAAUCUUGAAAAUAUGAUUGAUGAAUUAUUAUGGUUAAUUGUGUUUUUUUUUCUAUUUGCAUGUGUUGUUGUGCUUUAAUACAGGUUAUGGCUGUAAAAGAGACCUAGGUCUGAAUCGAUUUGUUUCGGUUAGUCAAUUCUAUUCAUAAUGUCAAAUUUAUAAUAAAA
ensembl:lncRNA